rnacentral:rRNA from 1 species
AGCGGCGAACGGGUGAGUAACACGUGGGUGAUCUGCCCUGCACUUCNGGAUAAGCCUGGGAAACUGGGUCUAAUACCGGAUAUGACCUCCUAUCGCAUGGUGGGUGGUGGAAAGAUUUAUCGGUGCAGGAUGGGCCCGCGGCCUAUCAGCUUGUUGGUGGGGUAAUGGCCUACCAAGGCGACGACGGGUAGCCCGACCUGACAGGGUGACCGGCCACACUGGGACUGAGACACGGCCCAGACUCCUACCGGGAGGCAGCAGUGGGGAAUAUUGCACAAUGGGCGAAAGCCUGAUGCAGCGACGCCGCGUGAGGGAUGACGGCCUUCGGGUUGUAAACCUCUUUCAGCAGGGACGAAGCGCAAGUGACGGUACCUGCAGAAGAAGCACCGGCUAACUACGUGCCAGCAGCCGCGGUAAUACGUAGGGUGCAAGCGUUGUCCGGAAUUACUGGGCGUAAAGAGUUCGUAGGCGGUUUGUCGCGUCGUUUGUGAAAACCAGCAGCUCAACUGCUGGCUUGCAGGCGAUACGGGCAGACUUGAGUACUGCAGGGGAGACUGGAAUUCCUGGUGUAGCGGUGAAAUGCGCAGAUAUCAGGAGGAACACCGGUGGCGAAGGCGGGUCUCUGGGCAGUAACUGACGCUGAGGAACGAAAGCGUGGGUAGCGAACAGGAUUANAUACCCUGGUAGUCCACGCCGUAAACGGUGGGCGCUAGGUGUGGGUUCCUUCCACNGAAUCCGUGCCGUAGCUAACGCAUUAAGCGCCCCGCCUGGGGAGUACCGCCGCAAGGCUAAAACUCAAAGAAUUGACGGGGGCCCGCACAAGCGGCGGAGCAUUGUGGAUUUAUUCCGAUGCAACGCGAAGAACCUUACCUGGGUUUGACAUAUACCGGAAAGCUGCAGAGAUGUGGCCCCCCUUGUGGUCGGUAUACAGGUGGUGCAUGGCUGUCGUCAGCUCGUGUCGUGAGAUGUUGGGUUAAGUCCCGCAACGAGCGCAACCCCUAUCUUAUGUUGCCAGCACGUUAUGGUGGGGACUCGUAAGAGACUGCCGGGGUCAACUCGGAGGAAGGUGGGGACGACGUCAAGUCAUCAUGCCCCUUAUGUCCAGGGCUUCACACAUGCUACAAUGGCCAGUACAGAGGGCUGCGAGACCGUGAGGUGGAGCCAAUCCCUUAAAGCUGGUCUCAGUUCGGAUCGGGGUCUGCAACUCGACCCCGUGAAGUCGGAGUCGCUAGUAAUCGCAGAUCAGCAACGCUGCGGUGAAUACGUUCCCGGGCCUUGUACACACCGCCCGUCACGUCAUGAAAGUCGGUAACACCCGAAGCCGGUGGCUUAACCCCUUGUGGGAGGGAGCCGUCGAANGUGGGAUCGGCGAUUGGGACGAAGUCGUAACCAGGUAGCCGUACCGGAAGGUGCGGCUGGAUC